AUUAUUAUAAAGUUUUACAACAUUUGCUUUGUUUACAAAAGUUAUAUUAUGCAUAGAUUGCUGAUUUGUCCUAGAUGCAUCGUCACCGGCGCUGUGACAUCAUGUGCAAUGGGUCUAUAGAGAUAGCUGAGAUGAAACGCCGUAAAUAAUAUUUAGUGACGUUGAGACCAUAGAUAUAGGAGAUCUAGAUUGUUAACGCAUACCUAGCGCAGGCGGGGCCUACAUGAUAAAUCCAAGAUGGCGGUACAACAGGGCAAAAAGACUAUAAAUUCUAUUACGAAAAUCAGGAUUUUUGCAUUUUUUGCCGUUGCAUUGUUUUGAAACUUAUUCGGUCAAAUUUUAUGGUAAAGAGAAACUUACCGCGAAGAUUUUGAGCAUAUAUAUGAUUGAAUUGGAUGAAAACUCGCAAAAUUAUCCAUCGAUAAAAGUUCGUGUAUAGUACUGAUAUAGUACUAUAUAUGUAACUUGUACAGUUUUGCUUUAAUUUUUGCUCACUAUUUGCAUAAAAAGCAAAUUAUAACAGACCAUAGAUGAUAGACCCUCAUCCAGUGCUCUCAUCAGUUUACUUCUCUAACAAGCAAGGGGGGGGGGGUACAUAACAGUUCAUUUUUCAUAAUUAUGAGGACAGAGCAGAUGAUGAUGAGAGAUGCAAGUAUAAAACACCAUUCACUAGGCAAGAUGUUAACAUAGCACAGUAUUUCUGGCAAUAAAACGCUCCAACUGACCAACUGACCAUUUCACACGAACUUUUAUCGCUGGAUAAUUUUGCGAUUUUUCAUCCAAUUCAAUCAUAUAUAUGCUCAAAAUCUUCGCGGUAAGUUUCUCUUUACCAUAAAAUUUGACCGAAUAAGUUUCGAAACAAUGCGACGGCAAAAAAUGCAAAAAUACUGAUUUUCGUAAUAGAAUCUAUAGUCUUUUUGUCCUGUUGUACCGCCAUCUUGGAUUUAUCAUGUAGGCCCCGCCUGCGCUAGGUAUGCGUUAGCAAUCUAGAUCUCCUAUAUCUAUGGUUGAGACGAAGGACAGCCUCGUCCCCAGGCUCCAGUAUGUGCGUGGGAUUUGCGCCGCUCCGCUCUGAAAGCGCACGUAUAUUCCCCCUUCUCCUGUCCACGCAUGUUUCUCCCGAGAGACCUUCACGCGCCGGGGACGACGAGGCUGGACCAGGUACAGUUCAAUAUCAAACAAAGCCUACAAGUGCCUUCUAUUUUGUAGCUUUGAAGUUUGCCCGACUUCCAGACCAUCGUAUCUUGAUACAGUAUGCCACAACAAAGUAAAACAGCGAAAAUAUUUUUCAUUGACCCAGUAAAACAAUUUGUAUCAUGUGUCCCAUAUAAAUAUAUAGUUGUAAACAAAACAGUAUUUAGAAACUGAUACUUUAGACUAAUAGCUUUCUGUUGCGCAGGGUUUUAAGUUUUCAGACUACAAUACUGCGCAAUGACAAUGUGUGAAAAUUAUUUUUCCGGU